GCCGUGGUGGCGGGGCAGGCCGUGGUGGCAGGGCAGGCCGUGCUGGCGGGGCAGGCCGUGCCGGGGGUGCCCGGCCGGCAGCCAAGGCCGCCACCCCGGGCAGUGCCGGGCGGGAGGGCAGGGGAGGGCCCGGGCAGGCACAUCCUCCCCCAGCCCUGCCGGGCGGCUGAAUCAGCGGGGCGAUGGCUAUCGCUGCUGACACAGAGCCGCAGUAAAUCACCACCUCUCCGGAGCAACGAGGAAGUUGCAGGGGUGACUGAGUCAUCCUCCGUCCUGACGCCAUUCCCGGAGCGGAGCCACGUACAUCCCCCGGCUCUGGGCUGUGCCCGGGGCCCAAAAAUAGCCUUUAAGCCAAAUCCUGCAGUCAUCACUCAAAGCUGAAACGCUUUUAUUUACACUCAGCAAGAACCCACGUAUGUUUUUGACAAUGCUAAGAGUAACCACUGCUUAAAUUAUUUGCCUAGCAAAGGAGUUUAUUUAACUACAAGAAUUACACCAAGUAUGCAAUGUUUUCUGACCCACAUAGAAGGUAAUAAUUUGCAUUUUAUAGAACCACUUUGCAUAGACAACCCAUCUUAAUGGCCAACGACUUGCUGUACAAAAAUUAAUAAUUGAAAAGCAACCCGUCAGCACUGUUAUUUGUGUUACAGGCAUGAGUUCUCAGAAUGGCAAGCAAUUGCGAAGAAAGUAUGUGACAGCUACCCAGAGUGGGAGAGGCCAGGCAAAAAUCCUGUCAGAAAGAUGUCAGCCUGAUCCCCCUUUGGCUGAAGAAGUGACUUUGACUUCAUGAAUCCCCCCUCUCUCCAGCCAGUCACUUGACCGAGCUUCUCUCACGAAUUUCUGCCUUAAUGCCAGAUUAAUCCUACUUCAUCCAGUCCCCAGACAUCUAAGAAGCUCCAGCUCUUUUUCUCUCAAAUCAUUGGCUUUUAAACUAUUUCUGUUGCAGCACCCAAGCAUUCGCUGUGGAUGAAAAAAGGCUCAAAGACUAGCACAGAAGUGUAAUGGCAAACAAAAAUUACAUUGCAAAGCCUGGGAUUUUCACAGUCUUAGGGAAAUUAGGUCCCCUGAAUCCCAUGGCAACUUAGAGAAGAGUCGAGUGCAUAAUUUUCCAUUAUGCUUGUAAAAAAAUCCCCAAAUAAACAUACAACUAAAUGCAGCUUCACAAGGCUGAGCAUUUAUUAUUCUCCUAAAAUGCUGUUACUAAGCCUGAGGCCUCUUAUCCCAUGUUUUAACGUUUUAUUUUUUAGAAAACAGUCUCUCUCUUGCCAAAACAUCCAAGAGUGGUAGUUAUAGGAAAAUCCACCUCAGAGUGCUGUCUUGGGGAAGAGUAACAAACCAACCCCAUAUUCCGGGCUCACACCCACCCCGACCCGCCCGUUGGUGCCGCGUCGCUCCGGCCGCUCCGUCCCGCCGAAGGGCCCCGUCUGUGUUGGGGUGACAGUCCCUGCUCACUGCUGACGUCUUUGCUCGGGGCUGUGCCGCGCUCCCCCGUACACAGUCUGCUCCAGAACAUGCACACUUGGCUGUUGCCGUUUCAAAAGCCUGCCUGGCGUAUUUCUGCAGACUGAAUCAGGAGGAUUUUGGGGCAGCCAGGGGCUGGUUCAUCUCGCCGUGAACGCCUGUGGGUGUCAUUCACACAGCUCUUCCAAACAAAGCAUUUUCACUGUGAUAGCAAAGGCAAACUUCCCCAAACCCAAUCUGUUUGGUGGUUAAUUAGUAUCCUCUGCUGCAACCUUGGAGACAAAAGAAAGAAGCGCUCCCCUCCUCCCACGAGCAUCAGGACUUUUUAAUCUCAAAGAUACACCUUAUCUGGCGUGUCCAAAGCAGAACAGAUACAGCUCCCUCUUAUUAUUUUCUUAAAUGGAGCAAAACCAACAGAAAUUGUGUUAGGAGCUUGUUCAUUGGGAGGUUCUGAUUUUCAUUUCAGUAGUACUGGCUGAUAGACUCCCACACCUGAAAAUCAGGGAGUAAUUUAAAAAACAUAAAUUGUAAGAAAAAACAAUUAUAUCCAUUAGAACUUUGAGUGGUAAAAAUAAUAGAGACAGUAUUAGAAAAUUUUGAUUGGCUUUUCUUUCACCCACUAAUAAAACAAGUCCCUGGAGUACUCAUAGGAGUUUCUCCUCUCUGCAUUUCUGUGGCAGGCGAAGAGGAGAGGCAGCUCUGCUCCCCUGGAUUCAGUCCGGCUUAUUCAGCAGCUUCAGCUCUGCUGUUUCAGAUUCCUGCAAAAAUAAAGGCUCAGAAGAGAAAGCUGAGCCUCUGGGCAUCCACCAGACUGCAGCUACUGCGCGUCUGUAAGAGGCACAACGGUGCUGGAAGGAGAGGAGCAGUACCCUGUCCUUCAGCAUCACAUGGCUGGCCACGCUCAGCAGCCCAAACCACAGCUUUGAACAUCCCACUUCAGAGGACGCCCUGAUGCCCAGGGCGGCUUCCCAGGGAUGGAACGCUGGGCAAAUCCAUCGGCAGCAAAAGCCCAAACUCCUGCACAUUCUGUCAGUACAUUUACUGCACGUCAGCCGUGCUCCCUUCGAGAUGCAGCUGGGACGAGCAGGCCUGUAGACAAAAUUAAGCGGCAGGAUCCAAACCGGCUAUUGCCAGAUCAGAGAAACAUCUUAGUCAUCCCUCAAAGUUGAAGAUGAAAUGGGCUUACAGCCCAUUACCAGCCCUUAAAAAGACAACAUUUGUUUUGGUUUACAAGCCAAUUCUUCCCUCAGACUUUUCCACUGGAGAUGUGCAAAUAUCCAAUAUUCAGAGCUUUACUGAAUAGCAAUUUAAAAGGAAUUCUCCAAACACAAAGGCAAACUUCAACAAGCCUGCUUCCCCAGGAACAGCACACCAACAUCACAAACCUGCAAAGGGCACAGAAAAUGGUGCUGCCACCCUAAGAAAGGGAAUGAGAGCAAGCUGUUCCUCGUUCUGUCUUCCUGCAAAAACAAUCUCCCUGCCCAAUAUCCAGAACUGCACAGGCUCCACAAAUCUAAUUACCCACGACUCCAAAAUGCAGAGCUCUGUCUGCCAAACAUACAAAAACAUUAAAGUUGUUUUGCUUUUAUGAAUAAAAUCUCAGGAUGGGAUGAGAUAAAAAUCCUAAGGAGGAAAGUCUAAGAGGUAAGUCCCUCCCCCUCCCUGAAUAAAGAGCUGUCUUUGUGUGGAUAAACUGGGCAACCUGGAUAAACUUCUCCUUGUUUAUUAUAAAAGCACAAGUUCACCAAGGUCCUUUUAUGUCCUGAUGUAUGAAAUGAUUCCAGCUACGUAUCGUUUCACAGAGUCAAAGGGGUGAGGCUACGUAUGGUAUUUAUAGAUACGUUCAGGGCCAGAAUUUUGGUUAGCAACAACAUAGUUACGGUCUCAACACCUAACACAUGCUUUUGGGAAAAUGCCCACCUAUAUAUAUAGAUCCUGGAAUAUUUUCCCUAUUAAAUACAUAUUUCAAGUGAA